GAUGAACGCUAGCUACAGGCUUAACACAUGCAAGUCGAGGGGCAUCGAGGGUAGCAAUACCGCUGGCGACCGGCGCACGGGUGAGUAACACGUAUCCAACCUACCAUUCACUCGGGGAUAGCCUUUCGAAAGAAAGAUUAAUACCCGAUAGUCUAGGAAUAAAGCAUUUUAUUUUUAGUAAAGAAUUUCGGUGUUUGAUGGGGAUGCGUUCCAUUAGAUUGUUGGUGAGGUAACGGCUCACCAAGUCUUCGAUGGAUAGGGGUUCUGAGAGGAAGGUCCCCCACAUUGGAACUGAGACACGGUCCAAACUCCUACGGGAGGCAGCAGUGAGGAAUAUUGGUCAAUGGGCGAGAGCCUGAACCAGCCAAGUAGCGUGAAGGACGAAGGCCCUACGGGUCGUAAACUUCUUUUAUAGGGGAAUAAAGUGGAGAACGUGUUCUCCUUUGUAUGUACCCUACGAAUAAGGAUCGGCUAACUCCGUG
rnacentral:rRNA from 1 species